rnacentral:rRNA from 1 species
GCGCUUAACACAUGCAAGUCGCACGAGAAAGCAGGAGCAAUCUUGUGAGUAAAGUGGCGUACGGGUGAGUAACACGUGGAUCAUCUACCUUCUAGUGGGGCAUACCUCUGGGAAACCGGAGAUAAUUCCGCAUAAGCUCGUAAGAGGAAAGCAGCAAUGCGCUGGAAGAGGAGUCCGCGGCUGAUUAGCUAGAUGGCGGGGUAACGGCCCACCAUGGCGAAGAUCGGUAGCCGGCCUGAGAGGGCACACGGCCACACUGGCACUGAAACACGGGCCAG